rnacentral:lncRNA from 1 species
UAUCAACAUAUGUGUAUGUCAUUAAGGACUUGUUCAUUCUUGGUUCAAAAUACAUUGUGAGGGUUAAAACGUUUUUGAGGCGUUCUUGAAACUACUACUCUAGUUUUUCUCUUAUUUCUGAGUUGACAGAAGCCAGUUUUCAAAAGUGGCUUUUCAGAUGCUUUUAAACCACCUUUCUUUUUCCUUUUCAAGACUUCAAAAUAUAUUUUCAACUUUCAUGCAAUUAUUUUUCUAUGAGCAGCCAAGAUUCACUUGGUAAGAUGGCAGUGGAUGAUGAAGAAAGUGGUAAUUACAUUUCAAUGAAGGGGGAACUCAAGGCUACUCACCUCUUUUCUUCAGGGAAUUUUGUUUGGAGUUGGGGUCGAAGGUCACAAGUUUUAUAGGUAUCUAAUUAUUAUUGGCCAAAUGAAACAAAUCCAAAUGUUGGUCUUUUUUAAGGUCACCGACUAAAAUGAGGAUUAAUUAGGAGGGGGAAAUCCCAAUCCCAUGGACAGACAUCUUACCAACCAUCUAAUCACUUGUACGUGGUAACAACCGGGGUAAAAAUAUGAUUCAGCAAUUAAUUAUGCGGAUCUAAUCUGUCAUCAAAAUGUUUAAAGCAAAGGUUCUUUAGAUCUCAAGUAAUGUGGAUGACAAGCAACACAAAAAUAAUGCCGAGUACCUGUUGUUGUUUAUCUAAUCUAACGUUACAUGCUCUGGUUUGCAGAUGCUAUGUUCAAAUACCACUCACUCAUGAGUCAUGAGUUGGUUGGUUUUUCCAUUCUUCACGGCAACGUCUUCUGGAGCACUGGAUCAGCUUUAGCCUUUAGCUAGUGGAGUUUUCCAUUACAAACUUCACGUAAUACUACUCUUUUUACUGUUUUUGUUUAGCCUAUUUAUGUCGGACUUUGUAUUAAUACAAGUCUGUGGAGUAAAUCACAUCGACAGAUUAACUGUUUAAGACUUUGUUUGCUAAUUUUAUGUAGAUAGACUACGACAGCUAACAGAUUUACUCUAAAUUAAACUCAUUUACAACCAUCUCUCCUCUAGAAAUGUUGAGAGAUAUGUUCAGUUCUACUAAUUAAAAAACUCAACGCCCCAGGAAAAAAAAUAAAAAUUGAAAAAUAAAUAAACGAAAUAGAAAUUUGGAAUUUGGGUUCUAAACUAUAUAUAUAUAUAUAUAUAUAUAUAUAUCUGAUUGCGCAAUUUGUCGGGAAUCUGGAACUCUCAGUCGCUGUUAGAUGAAGUCAACAGAUCAAAGAGACGACUAGUAUAUCGUCAAUCAUUCAAUAUUCAAUGGCAUCAGUCAUUUUCAUUGAAACAUGCAAAAAAAAAAAAAAAAAUGUGUUUGACAAAUUUCCAGUGUUAGUUUCGGAUUGUGGAAAAACAUAAAGGUCCCCAUCAAUUCUGUUGACUCUUUCGCUUUUGAUUACGCUCUAUCCAACUUCCUGCGUCAAAAUAAAAUAGAGAGUAAGAUAUGCAUACGGAAUCUUGAAUGCGAUGGCAGCAGCAAUAAUUCUGCAUUCCUGAAAUUUUCGGCCCACUUCACGUGUGUAAGUUAGCAGUUUAGUAAAGGGGUUUGCGAUUUUGGGCUCAAGCAUUUCAAAAAUGGCUACAGCCCUCUGUGUCAGUUGCUCUUCCAAGCCUAGUACUGUUACGGAUAAGGAUUUCUUGCCAGGAAGACGCAAAGCUGGAAAGAUUAUCGAAAACCUUGACGUUGGCAUCAACGUGAGGAGUCCCAUUUCAACCGGCGAUUCCCCGAACAUGACUAGAGGCAUGAAAUCCUCACUUGAACAACGUAGGAGAUUACUGAGUUUUGUAGACUCGGGUUGUUUUGAAAAUGCGCUCCAUGUGUUUGAAGAAAUCACUAGACCAAGCACGUUUAUUUGGAAUGUUUUGAUAAGGGGAUUAACAGAUAACGGGUUCUAUCAAGAAGCCAUUGAUUUGUACUACAGGAUGGAGUGGGAAGGAGUUGGGUCAGAUAAAUACACUUUUCCUUUCGUAAUUAAGGCGUGUGUUGGGUUAUUUUCUUUGGUUGAUGGACAGAGGAUUCAUUCCAGGGUAAUUAAGAUGGGGUUCGAUAAAGAUCUUUACGUUUGCAAUUCCCUUGUUAUUAUGUAUUCAAAGCUCGGCUGCAUAGAGCAGUCGGAGAAAAUAUUUGCAGAUAUGCUGGUUAAAGACGCGGUGUCUUGGAAUUCUAUGAUCAGUGGGUAUGUUGCAUCGGGCGACUGUUUGAGCUCGUUGACUUGUUUCCGCGAUAUGCAGGCAGCACGGAUAAGUUGUGACAGAUUCUCUGUGAUCAGCAUUCUUGGUGCUUGUUCUCUUUAUGGUUGUUUGUUGAAGGGAAAGGAAGUCCAUUGCCAAGUAAUCAGGAGACAACUGGAUUCAGAUCCCAUGAUCGAAACGUCACUUAUUGACAUGUAUGGUAAAUGUGGACUGGUAGAGUACUCUGACAGAUUGUUUAAUAGGGUCUCUCAAAGAAGUGUAGCUGUUUGGAAUGCUAUUAUAGGAGCAUAUGGUCUUAAUGAUGAACCCGUAAGAUCUUUUUCUUGCUUCGAGAGAAUGCUAGAGAGUGACAAUUUGGACCCUAAUGCAGUGACAUUGAUAAACCUACUGCCAUCCUGUGCAAGAAUGAGAGCUCUCGUGCAGGGAAAGUCUAUGCAUGGUUUUGCCAUUAGAAAAGGAAUGUUUCCUCAUGUAGUAUUAGAGACUGCACUACUUGACAUGUAUGGGAAGUGUGGCUGCCUGAAUUUAGCAGAUUCUAUGUUUGUUCAAAUGAAGGAGACUAAUCUGAUAUCAUGGAAUGCAAGAAUCGCGGCCUACGUACAGAGUGGUAAUGAAAAAGGAGCAUUACAUGUUUUCCAGGAUAUGUGCAGUGAACAUCUUCACCCAGAUGAGAUCACAUUUGUGAAUAUCCUACCUGCCUACGCUGAAACUGCCUUACCAAAGGAGGGCCAGCAAAUACAUGCUAACAUCAUAAAGUUGGGAUUUGGUUCAAGUAUUUUCAUUUGUAAUGCCUUGAUUUACAUGUAUGCAAAAUGUGGUGAUAUCCAGGCUGCACAGCUUGUUUUUAACUGCAUAGUGUAUAAGGAUGUCAUUUCCUGGAACACGAUCAUUCUGGCCUAUGGUAUUCAUGGAUUUGGAGAAAUUUCAGUUCGAUUAUUCUCUGAUAUGAUGGCAGAGGGCAUCAAACCCAAUGGGAGCACAUUUGUUUCACUUCUAGCAUCUUGCAGUAUUUGUGGCAUGGUGGAUGAAGGCCAGAAUUAUUUUAGUUCAAUGAAAACAGAGUAUAAUAUUGAUCCUGGAAUAGAGCACUAUGGAUGUAUGGUAGAUCUUCUAGGACGCAGUGGUAACAUUGACCUAGCCAAACAUUUUAUAGAUGAAAUGCCAUUGGUCCCAACUGCAAGGAUAUGGGGAUCUCUUCUGUCUGCAAGUCGAUACCACAGAAACAUAGAACUUGCUGAACUUGUCGCAGACCGUAUUUUGUCAUUGGAACACGAUAAUACUGGCUGUUACGUGUUGCUUUCUAACAUGUAUGCUGAACUAAGGAGAUGGGCUGAUGUAGAGAGCAUAAGAUGUUCCAUGCAGAGCCAAGGGUUAAGGAGGACCACUGCAUGCAGUUUGAUCGAGUACAAUGGGAAAGCUCUCCAAAUCACCAAUAAUGAUUGUUCGCAUGCUGAGGCCAGCAUGAUUUAUGACGCAUUAGAUAUCAUUUCAAGAAAGAUAGGUGAUGACCUGCAUGUUUGUGGAGUGUUGAAGUUCAAGCCACCGGAUCUAAUCAGAAGAAGAGCACAUUCUGCAAUGUACCACAGCGCAAGGUUGGCAAUUUGUGCUGGUUUACUAUCCACACCAGUAGGAACUCCCGUUCUUGUUAGGAAAAACGUUAGGAUCUGUGAAGAUUGCCAUAAUGCUGCAAAAAAAUUUCAGAAAUGACAGACAGGGAGAUAGUGGUGGGGGAUCCAAAAUUCUAUCACCGCUUUAGUAACGGGAAAUGCACUUGUAAAGAUUAUUGGUAGCUAUUGUCUAGGUAAACAAGUUUUGUAUGCAUAAAUUCCUUUAUGCAUUAAAAGGUGGAUUUGUACAUAAUAUAUGCUCCAUCAAGUUUCUACAUAAUAUAUGCACUUCUUGGAUUGUUGUUUAUACAUAUGUUACGUCUUUUGCAAGAACAGCACAAGGUUGACAAUUCUCUCUGUAUGUUUUCUUUUCUUGUAUCUUGAAAAUGUAUGAUGCCAAAUUAGCCAAGGGCUUUUGUAACAUUUGGUAUGCCUUUGUUUAUAUCGCUGGAAAAUAGACACAAGCGGGAAUAAGAAUUGCCAGGGAUAUAUGUAGAACUUUCUGUGCUAAAAAUAUCAUUAACUAAAUUAGGUCUUCAACUGACGGAAGAGGGAAGAUUGAAUUAUACCAUCUAACUCCGGUGUAGUUUUGAGAACUAAAGAUUCUUUGUUACGAUAAGUUCUGCCUGCUAGAAACAAAACUCCGAGCUGACGCAUGUGCUGGCCGUCUUUGAUUUCUGCAAUCAUCUAAAUCACUACUGGUUAAAAACCCUUUAAUGAUGAUCCGUGGUUGCAGUUGAGGAUAAUCUUGAAUCACAACGGUCUUGAAUGCAUGUUUUUGUCUACUAUCAUUGUCUCAAACUCUGCUGCAUGUAUCAAAUUCGGUAGAGUAGCAUUUUGUCACAUGAUCUAACUGUAGCUUUAUCCGGGUUCAAUUCAUUUCUCCAUUUCCUAUUUACUUUGUUCUCAAUCUCCUUAUCAAGAAGCCACCCAGCCUAACAACCAGUCUUAAACCUCGAGCUGAUUGUUAGAAGCUGUGUCUGUGCAAGUGAAGAGGAUAAUGUGCAUAGUCUACUCUAGAACUAGAAAUUAAACAUUCUUCAUCAAUGAUUAAAAGUACAGCUCUUUUCGCAGCGCAAACCUAGAGGUAAAGCAAUGACUGCGUCCACAAUUGGUCGGUAAAAGUGCUGAUUGCUGUAACCGUCCAAAAAGAAAAAGAAGAAAAAAAAAAAAAACGAGUAACAUUCAAAGGCGAAAAGCAAAGCACUUGAUGCUGCUCCUUCCAUUCCAUCUUCUUUUUGGUAUAGCUAAUUCAGGCUGCGAUCAUUCUAAUGAUGUGCAAGUCAUGCCAUGUGUAUCAAGAAAUGAAAGGUGCAAAAGCGCAAUGUCCAUAUGUGAAAUCUAGUGACAGUUAAUAUUGAGAAAGAACAUCAUAAAUUUUGUAAGAAUGGGCAAAUGAUAUUGGUGCAGUGGGCUCAAAUGAUUAAAGAAAGCCUUGCUCUGCUCUGAGUACCUUGCUUGGCCCCGAAUCCAGUAGUGUCUCCUGUUGGUGGUGGGGCGUGAAGUGAACGAGCUGAAGAUGAUUGGGUCUAAUGUGAUCAUUGGAAGUCUGUUGUGGAUUCAUUUUCUGCUUGUUCUUGUUCAAGCAGCAACAAUUAAUUGAUGUUCCAUAAUGAAGUCAUCAUGUUUUACUUAACGAAAUUUAUCGACACUUCUGUCAUAAUAUGCAAUACAUAGGCAUUUUAAAUACAUAGUAAGGGCCCAAAUAAGUGGGUAAAGUUCUUAUUUAAUGAAUUGGGGGGGCAAAGCGCGACUAAUGAUAAAGUUUAGGGAGGUUUAGCGCAUAUAAUAUAACCCCAUAAACUAAUAAUGUACAUUAUCUCACUGACUUGCCCGAAAGGUUGAUUGACAACUGUACUGCUCUUAUGUGUUAUCCAAAUUUGGUUCCUCAUCAGAAAUUGAAUAACAUGGAACAUCAAGAAAGACAAACAGUAGAAGAACCAAAAUACAAAUGUUGAUGAUGAAAAAUGACAGUACUUGAUUAUCAUCGAAGUGAUGAAAAUUUGCAGAAACAGCAACGUUGUUAAGCACAUGGAAGAUGGUAGAUGGCAACAACUGAUACAUGUGGUGCCGCUUUAACUUCUUCCUUGACGACAACAUAACUCAUUCCUUUCACCUGCUCCUUUCCUUUGCCUUCGUUGUUCUAGGCCUCAUCUACUGUUAUGGACUGUGUUGAGAUUGAGCUCCUAAGUUACACCAACAAGGAAAAAUUCUUCUGCUGUGUCUGUCUGUCCAUAUUCUGGAAAUAGGGAGCCUGGUUUCGGAAAUGGCAAAUGAACUUGGCAACUUUUGUAAUCCAACUGCUAAAUUUUAAUGAUGAACGAAGAAAAGAAGAGUCAAGGGAAAAAUAAAAAUUGGAGGGAAGGGAGUAAAAGCAGGGAGGGCCCCAGCGGAGUAGCUCAACCGGUGUGGUUGGUUCCUCUUUAGACAUGUCCACCAGAGUUCGAGUCCCGCUAUUAACACGUUCGAAGUGGGUUGGGACGCUCUCUCCCGAACUGCAGGGGAUUAGUCUGGUCGAAGGCUCGAACACCCUGUGUCGACCAAAAAAAAAAAGAGGGAGGUCAAUUCUAACCUGUCCUGCCUUCUAGCCUAAAUUAAAGAGGUGCCAAAACAAGGGCUGCAAAUAAUUCCCACUCUCAAUAAUAUUAGUGCUGAGCAGAAGGUGCAGAAAUGCUUUAUCAAUGUGAUGUUUGGUGUUCAACUAAUUUUUAAAAUUUACCGCAUUGCCUUGCAAUAUGAUUUGUUUAAUUAUUGAAAUGGCAAUUUUUAAUCUACUCCUACCUUAGGGGACGUAGGGGUUCACUGGGGUAGUUCAUAUGGUGGGGAGACUAGAACCCCGACCCGACACUCAGGGUAAUUUGUAAUUCUUUAUUGGUGGCGGAUUCAGCUGGUCUAAACAGUAUAUCAAAGUAUUUUAUCUCUGGUGGGCCCUCAAAGUAUUUGGCUAGUACGCUUUUAGCCCUUCAACUAUUAUUUGUAUAUUUUUAGCACUCCAAUUUCUAAAAGCGUGUACUUCUGACCUUUAUGUCUAUUCAAGCCGUUGAAACCAAUAGAAACUACAUCAUGCACAACACAUGAGCAAAAAUCUAGUCAUAACUAGCAUGAUUCAUAAAAAUUUGUGUCCAUAUUCAGAAUCUACUUAAAAAAUAGAGUUAGAAAUUGUUAUUUCAUUUAAAUUCGAUAACUCUGAAAUAGUGAUCAACUAUUGGUCAACAACGAUCAAUGGCUGUUGAUCAGCAUGUAGUAGCCGCAACGGUAUUAGAUGUGAUUGGAAAAUUAAAAAUGUUCAAAAUUAUGCCAUUUUGAGGUACAUUUAAUUAGGAGUAAUAGUUGAAAUUGACAAAAGAGCUAAAAAUAUAGUGUGUUUUUAGAUGUAAGAGGGUUAAAAGUAUACGAAUAAUAGUUAAACAGUAAAAAGUGUAUAAGAUUAAUAGUUCGAAAGCCGACCGGGUAUUUUGCCCUUUCUCUUUACGAAUAUUUGGAGGGAAGAUAAACAUUCCUCGAUAAAUGUAGGCCUAUCCAUUUUCACAUAUAGUAGGAGGUGUAAGUUAGUGUAGUUAAAAGUAAUCGUUAUUGCUUAGUACAUUCCACAUAUAUCAUUCCAUUCGAAUUAGUGACUCUUGUUCCUAAAUCAUACUUGAAACUUAUCACUUUUUUAUAUCAUAUAUACGACGUCGGCUGGUAACAAUGGAUGGAAAAUAUGUAGUAUAUACUUGAAAUUUUAUGUAAAUUAAUUAUUCAUUUAAGAAAAGAUCAAUAUAAUUUGAGGUAAACACACAAGAAAAAUGAAAACUACAUAUCUACAUGGGAGGGAAAUUGCACCAUUAUGACAUGGGAUUGGGGGGGGGGUCAAGUUUGUAAGUGUACGAAAGUGGAUUCACUUUUAUUGUCUCUCUUUCCUGUUAGGACGCAAAGGUGAAACUGAAAGUGCCCAGAAAAAAGUGAAAUAUGGCGACUAGGGCCAUCCAUCCAUCUCUUUUGACCUUUGUUUAAUCGAAAAAUAAACUAUAUGGAAUUCAGGCUUUCUUGCGAGAGUGUCGGUGGCAAUGGUAGAUAUUGCAUUAUCUAUUACCAAACCAGUUGGCGACACACAUAAUCAAAAAUCAACCUGGAUUAAUAAUGCCUUGGAUGUCUAGACGUCUACGUUCGGUUGGUAAAAUUAAUAAGCCACAAUAUGGACACUUACGAUAGGAUUAGCAUAUGUCAACCACCAGAUCAUCAGGUCCUAGAGCCACAUGCUCAUUCGCGUAUUUAUUUAAUAUAAAAAAUUUCUGAAAACAACAAUUCAACAUGGUCCAUAUCGAACCAAUUAAUUGGACAGGAUCUAGGUAACUGAUAUACCAAGUAUAUAUAUCUUCAAGUGGGCUUUGAAGUUAUUUGAUGUACAUUAGAACAGUAGUACACUGCUGUGCAGAAUUGAGUGCUGUCCAAUAUGAGAUUCAUCUAUGGACGAUCCUCGAGAUUGUUAGGAUAUAAUCUGAACCUGAAAACAGCAAUCAUAUAGACUUUUACCCAAAACCUUUUGCGGGCUUCCAGCCCCCGCUUGAAAUUUAAUCAGAGUAAAUAAGACAGAGAGGAAGAAAAAUAACAUGACAAUCAGGUGUCGUUUGUCCACAAGGCUAAAGAAGUCGCAGUAGUUUGAUCAUCAAGAGGAUUUGGGUACAGUUUUAAGAGCUUCUGAAAAUCAUUAACAAACUAAAAGCACAGGAGCCUUUGUAAUGAUAAUCAAAAUUUGAAUCAAAGUUAUGACAAUGUGCUAAUUUUCGUCAUCAUAGAUAUCACAUCCAAUUCAAAUGAUCACCACAAUCUUGUAUAACCAGAUUCUUUGUUCUAACCGCAUUUCCCUUCAUGCUAUUUUGGUUCUCGAUUUGAGUUGUGGUACCAACUCUGAAUCAUCAAUUUAGAUCCCUUUCCCAAUAGGGGAUUGUCAUCUUUUUACUUCAUUGUAAAAGAGCAUGACAUUAAAUUUCACUGUUGGUUGAAUGUGAAUGCAGCCUUUUAGUGUAGCUGUUGAAUAAAUAAGAUCAUGUAGAGAGAUAGGAAGCAGAAAAGUUGGUAAUUACAUCUGAAUGCUUCAAAUUAGAAACAACUGUGUCAUCACAGCAGCUGCACAUCAAUAUGGUAGAAGAUGAAAGUCAGCAGCCACAGAGAAGGAUACGGAUAAGGAUGUCUAUAUACAAAAUGAUGAGGGAGAUUUGCUCUCAUGAUUGUGGAGGAGCAUUGUGUUUUUUGCUGCACUUGUAAGGCUUAAGCAGUAGCAGCCUUCUCUUCCUCAACAACUUGUGCUGCUGGAAGAAGGGUGCACACAAGGUUGCGAUCACCAUAGACAUUAUCAACACGUUCUGAUAAGCCAACCAAACAAUUAUUAGUGUCGACUACAAGUAGCAUUUUAGUACAGAAACAACUAUCGAGGAAGUCAUCAAGAUGCAGCAGCAGCAAUAACAGAUGGAGCACAUGUGACGUGCAAAGAAUACUCCAAAAGUUGGCAGAGGACGGAAAAAAAAGAAGGGUAAAAAAACUGAUGGUUUGUUCCCUCUUUAGAGCAUCAAACACGAAGUGAGAUGACGCUUCAUCAAAAGAAAGUUUCUGUAGUUUGUUCUCGACAUCAUAAAUUGAUGAACUGGAUCAAAUUUCCUUCGAUAAGAUUAACGGUUUUUUCUAAAACUAGAGAUGCUUUAGAAAUAAUACAAGAGGAUGCCAGACCCAAAGAUGAAUAACAUUUUCUGUACAAAAGAUAUAAAGACUUCUAUGGAACAUUCAGAUAAUUGAGACAAUAAGAUGACACAGCUGAUACACUGGCAGCAUAAUGCAAUCAAAAUAUAAUCUCUUUGUUUUAACAUGCAUUCAAAAAUAUGUACAGGAUAAAAAGCAACCCAGUUUGUACCGUUAGUUGGUAACCAAAUAAAGUCUUCAACAUGCAUAACCUUCAGAAAAGGAAUAUCUAAAUGCCGAGCAAGAGGGCUGAGAAAGAAAAUGUAAAGCAAAACUCAUCUGGCAUUUGUUUCAAUUACUAUACUACUGCAUUUAGCUUCUUUUUCUCCCAUUUCAUCGCUUGGAUCUAACUAAGUCUUGAUGAGCAAACCUUAAAUUUCUGCCUACUCACAGACAGAGGUCAGGAAACUGAAACCUAGCAGCGAACCUUAAGUUCUUCAAGUGUUGCACAUGGGACAAUUCUUUCAUUUGGAUAUUAUCAGGCGUUUCAGUUAAGUAUAUAAUCACCUCAACAUUUUUUCCCAGAGAUGCAUCUGACAGAAGUUUUCAGCUAAGCUGUAUACUUGGCUACCAAAGAAUAAGAUAAAGCAUAAAACAGGUGUUCCUCUUCCUUGUAUAUGUGCAAACAGAAAGGCAAUUGGAGUCCCAAAAGUUAAAAGGAGAGGUCCAUACUAUAUGGCUGCCACCACCUAGUAGAAGUUUAAUGUUGUUACAGGCAUAGUGAGGUUUGGAUAUUUAUGGCAGCUCAGUAUUACCCUAAGAAUUAGCUUUAGGGACAAGUAAAACCUACUUCACCAUCUGAUAACCACUUUUCAAGAGUUCUAAAUGUGUACGCAAAAUUUUCUCUCAACUUACAAAAGGAAGGAAAUGUUAUGCUGAAGAAAUUUGUCAAUGACACCUCCAGAUAGUUGGGACAAAAACGUGUAUUAAGCAUACCUGUCGUUGGCCAGAAUUUUGCAGUCCUCAGCCAAGGAGCUGGGAAGGCAGCAUAUUCCCGUGAGUAAGGUUUUGUCCAUACAUUAGCCAUGAGUAGGGAGGGUGGAUGGGGAGCAGACUGCACUCAAAAAACUCGGUUAAUAUCUAUGAACUUUAUGCAGGAAGUGGGAAAACUUUGUCAAUCAAAGAGUACAGACAACAUUUAACUCCACAGAAAGGAUAAGAAAGCAGAUUAUAAUGUUGAAGUGUUAGGCAAACACCAGCAUUUUAAUCAAGUGAACUAUCUUGAUACUUCCAAGUCUUCAUAAUGAAUAGAAAUUUAUGACACUUUACAAUGUUGGUUUGUCUCAUAACCAAAAUCGAGCUAAAUAUCAUAGAUAUAGGCAAAUCAAGAAAUGAAAGGUUAGAAGAACUUUUAGCAGGAGAGUGAGGGAGAGAGAGAGAGAGAAUCUUUAGAAGACCUCCUAUUACUUAAAAAAGUACUAUUUUCCUGGAAAGCAACAUCCUCUUUUACCUUGAGAACAUUGUUGUGCAAAUCAAAUUUUCCUUUCUCAAUUUGGGCAAUUUCUUCUCUUAUUGAGAUAAGGGCAUCACAAAAUCUGUCUAACUCUGCCUGCAAAAGAAUGCAUUCUCAAAGUAACAACAAUAAGGACACUAAAUUAUAUAGAUAAAGAUGGGUAUAAAGUGUAAGUUAACUGAACCUUGCUUUCGCUUUCAGUUGGUUCAACCAUAAGAGUGCCUGGAACCGGCCACGACAUUGUUGGUCCAUGGAACCCAUAGUCCAUAAGACGUUUAGCAACAUCUUCAGGCUCUAUUCCAGCAGUGUGCUUCAGGUACAGCAAGUCAAAGUAAGAAACUAAUCCACAUUUGAGAACUGAAUGUCCCACAAUAAACGACUGAUGUUAGCCAUACUCACCUUAAAGCCCCUCAAAUCAAUAAUGAACUCAUGGGCAACUGUUCCAUUGACACCACGGAAAAGAACAGGGUAGUAAUUCUGCCAUUCCAUUUUUAAAAUAUUAAUCCUUGAAAAAAUCUAGUGCAAACUAAAAAAAUUAAGUAUUAUCAAUUGGUUAAUGGCUUGAUCUGAAAAAGGCCGAUAAGACCAAGUAUUGAUGUCUGAUUUGAGUCUGCUUGACCGGGAAAACUAACUGCAGAUCUUAUGAUCUUUCACCCAAAAAAAAAAUGGAAAAAGGUACUGCAUGGAAAAAAAGCAAAACCAAUACUUAUGUAAGUAGUGACUGCUUUUUGGGUGACAUAGCCCUGCUUGGAAGAAGUUAUAGCCAACUCAAAGAAACAAUCAGGCAAAACAAAGGAGAUACCUCAAGACGCUUUGCCAUGUAGUUUGCAUUCAAGAUGGCUAUCUUUGAUGCUUCUGUAAGUCCUUUAGAACCCAUCAUAGCAAUAUAUGUGUAUGAAAUUGGCAAAAUGAGUGCAGAGCCCCAGGGUGCAGCAGAAAUUGAACCUAGGGGCUGGCUUUUUCCAGGGGCUGGUAUACCUCCAGUAGGUAUCUUUGAUAUAAUAGCACCGAAAAUCAGAAAAAAAGAGGAGUAAGAAAAAUGAAAAAAAUUUCAUUAUUGAUUCACACUAUUAGCCUUCCCAUCAUUUCUAGAAGGUAUUAAACAUUUAUAAGUAGCGUCAGUAAUAACAACAACUUGAAGUUAACAUGUAUUAUUCAGUUUUGACAUGAAUAAGAAAGUUUUCUCAAAGACAGAGAAAUUUCACGGUAGAAUAAAAAAAGAUACUUCACCAUGUGGGAUGCAAAAGGUGCCACGUGUAAUAAAUGUGAUAUUUUUUAUGCUGUAAAUAGAGCAUACCACAGGAUGUGAUGGCAGAAAUGGUGCCAGGUGUUUCUUCACACCAAUUGGACCCAUGCCAGGACCACCUCCACCGUGUGGGAUGCAAAAGGUUUUGUGAAGAUUCAGAUGGCACACAUCAGCACCAAUAAAACCUGGACUGGUCAGACCAACCUGCAAAACAGAACAAAGAUAGGAAUGAUUUUUGAAAAGGAAAUGGCUGCAGGAUUAGCACUAGGAGGAGAGCAAAGAACAAAAUGACUAUUCAAAAUGUAAAAAGUUUUUUCCAGAGAAAAACUAAUUCAAUAAUUGCAAAAAGCAUACUAAUAAAAAAGUUUCCCAGGAGACCUCAGACGAAAACCCUAGGGCAGCAAAAUCAAGGAGCCAAAUGAUGAAGCCCUGCUAUGAAUGUCAUACAAUGAAAGGUUGAACAACAGAACACACAUACAUUGGCACCUCAAAGGAAACAUGAACUAAAUAUUCAUCAAUAUUCUUAAAUAAAUGUAGAGAUAGAAAAAAGAAAUUUAGGAUCCUAGUAAUAAGACUGAAAUAGAGUUCUCAAGGGUAUCUCUUUAUGAAGAGGUAAAAGCAUUAGUGAUGUUACUUUUAUAAACAUUAAUUACUUCUAGGUGCACAUUAAACAUGAAAUGAUACUGUCGUUAAAUAUACCUGAGCAUUCAUGUUGGCUCCAUCCAUGUAAACUUGACCACCGUUGUCAUGAAUAAUCUUACAGAUCUCAUCAAUACCUUCCUCGUAAACACCAUGUGUUGAAGGGUAUGUAACCUAGAAUCCAUUAGAAAAUAAGGUUGAAAACUUAGUUGCUACAUGUAGAAAUUACAAACUAUGGAUGUCUAUGUACCACAUACCAUAAGAGCAGCUAGGUUCUCCUUAUUUGCUUCAGCAGCCUUGCGUAACUCUUCAAUGUUAAUGUUUCCCUUUGAAUCAGUUCCAACAGGAACAAUUUUCAUGCCACACAUUGCAGCACUUGCAGGGUUGGUUCCAUGGGCUGAUAAAGGUAUGAUGCAUACAUUUCGGUGAUGGUCUCCUCUUGACUGCAUUUUUAAAAGGUAAAAACUUGUAUCAGUGUUGUAAUUUUCUAAGUUGGAUUACAAUGGAAACCCAAGGUCCACGCAUGAGCCAAUAUAAAGACUGAAAAAGCUUAAGUUUAUAGACCAGAGACACUGAGAUAACUACAUACAAUAUAUUUUUGAAAGUCAGAGGAAGCUUUUAAUUGCAUCAUACAUGCUCCAGAAAUCUCUCAACAUUUAAUUGCAUCAUGCAUGCUUCAGAAAUCUGUCAUAUACAGCCUUCAAAACACUCUAGAAGUUUUUGAGAGUAAAAGUACAUGUAGGAUCUCAGCACAUGAAAUGUAGGUCAAGGAUUUAGGCAUCUCACGCCUAUUUUAAGUACUAACUUAUGCAUACUUGAGUGCUCUGACAUAGGAAGAGAGACUCCAUUCUGAAAUAUUAUUUUAACAUAUACAAAUAGGUGAUCCUGUAUUAUGGACAGUCAUCUCCUGCAGUAGAAUGGCGACAGAUGAUAUAUCCAACUGCAAUAUUUAUUUACUGAAUCAUAUCCAUAUUGAGUUUGUUUUUACUUCUUAAGGGUAAGUAAAUUGAGGACCAAACUUGUUGCGCAAGGCAAUACUUCAUAGACACCUCAUCUGUCUAACAGAAAUUAGUUGUGGUUCAGCUUAUAAGACAUUAUUUAGUUGCAAGAAUGUGCAUAUAAGUAAUCAACUUCAAUUUGAACUAGGGCACCAUUCAAUUUGAGCGGAUUGGCAUCUGAAAACCACAAAUGCCAAUCCGCUCCCCACAUCACGAGGGCACCAUUCAACUAGGGUUGUCACAUGUUCACAAAAUCAUAUAUUAACAUGAUCCAAACAUAAAAAAAUGGAGAAAAUAUCCAUUCCUCAAUUGCCAUGAACCAGACACAUACUCGAGAAAAAAGCACAAUGCACUUUUACAUUAUAGCACGAUUUUUUGAACCAAAAAGGGCAGAAUUAAUUUGUAGAACAAGUUGGAAUCAGAAUAACCUGAUGAUAUGCACGAAUAACCAUCAACCCUGCAUACUCGCCAGAAGCACCAGCAUUAGGUUGCAAUGAGAAAGAGUCAAAGCCAGUUAUUGUGCACAAAAGUUCUCCCAAGUCCUUGAACAUUUCCUGGAAAUAGAGGUUAUGAUGGUUCAGUGACCGACUUACAUCGAGCAAACAAGCAACACAAGGAAAUAAGGUUCCAAGAUAAUUCUAACAACCUGAUAACCCUCAGCCUGUCCAGUAGGGGCAAAAGGGUGGAUAUUUGCAAAGCUAGGCCAAGUCACUGGCAUCAUUUCUGUUGUAGCGUUCAGUUUCAUUGUACAAGAUCCCAAAGGAAUCAUACUAUGGCACAAUGAAAGAUCCUUUGAUUGUAGCCUAUGAAGGUAUCUGAGCAAUUCAUGCUCUGUGUGAUACCUAAAAAGCCAUAAAGAAGUCAAAUGAGCUCUAGAAGAAAACUUAAAAUGGUUGUUAACAUUCAGUUGGAAGGACCUACGAGUUGAAGAUAGGAUGAGUCAAGAAUGGGCUCUCCCUUAAAAGCCCAGCAGGGAUUUUAUUCUGAACCUCAGGUGCAAGAGUUGCAGCAGUGAAUGCCACCUAAAUAAUGAAUUUAUCAGAAACAAGUGAUUUCUAAAAAUAUCAUGACUACACAAAAUGUGGAAAAUGCAACAAUCACACUUACAGGCUUGCCACCUGAAAAGACUUGAAACAGUUUGUCCACAUCUUCUAAAGUUGUUGUUUCAUCAAAAGAAACAGUAAUCUGGAAGAGAACAGACUCCAGUUAUCCCAUAAAGAAACUCACAAUGUAUGCAGUAAACAACACUAAAUAGUAUACUUACAGUAUUCUUGUCCACAAUCCUCAAAUUGAUCUCAUUCUUGUAAGCCAGAUCAGCAAUUGCACGUGAAUCCGCAACCUUUACCUUCACUGUGUCAAAGAAGGGUAGAUCCUGCACCUCUGCUGUACCAAGUUUUUUCAGUCCAGCAGCAAAUGUCGCAGCAAGACCAUGAACCCUGUGGGCAAUUGUUUUUAGCCCUUCAGGUCCAUGAUAGACAGCAUACAUAGCAGCCAUGUUGGCAAGCAAUGCCUUCAUAACAGCACAAUAGUACAAUGUUCAAUAGUCAACAACAUGAUAGAGAGUUCUAAGAAGCAUGUUUGAUGAUCUGUCACAUGAAACUAAACAUAUCUCUAUGAUUGUCUGCAAGUGAUAGAAAUAAACCAUGAAUAAUAUGUUUGUUCCUUUUUCUAUGUCAUCAUUUAGACAAAGAGCAAUAAACUCAAUUCCUCCUAAAUAGCCUAGGUACUUAAGGCACUUUAUAACAUGAAAUAUGGAGCAUUCACCAAAAAAGCAAAAUAAUUUCUUUACCUGAGCUGUACAAAUGUUGCUGGUAGCCUUGUCCCUGCGGAUGUGUUGCUCUCUUGUCUGCAUAGCCAUUCUUAGUGCUGGUUUUCCAGAAGAAUCCACACUGACACCAAUAAUUCUUCCAGGCAUCAUCCUCUUGUACUCUUGGGACGUAGCUAGGAAAGCUGCAUGAGGACCACCAUAUCCCAUUGGGACACCAAACCUCUGAGCUGAGCCAACAACAAUAUCAGCAUCAAAUUCGCCAGGAGGCUUCAACACUGUCAAAGCCAAAAGAUCGGAUGCCAUGACAACCUUCACACCAUUAGCAUGAGCAUUCUUAACAAACCCCUCAUAAUCCACAACCUCACCCUCAGUGCCAGGAUACUGUAUUAAAACCCCACAAACAUCCCCAGACUUGUAAUCAAUAUCCUUAAUAUCGGAGACAACCAGUUUGAGAUCAAAACCUUCAGCCCUAGUCUUACAAACAUCAAUAGUCUGCGGAUGACAAUUAGUAGCAAUGAUAAAAGUUUUCUUUUUUCCUUUCUGGAUGUUAUUACACAUAGCCAUAGCCUCAGCUGCAGCAGUUCCUUCAUCUAGUAAAGAUGCAUUAGACAUAGGCAAUCCAGUAAGAUCCGCAAUCAUGGUCUGAUAAUUCAGCAGGGAUUCAAGACGUCCCUGCGAAAUCUCAGCCUGAUAGGGAGUAUACUGAGUAUACCAAGCAGGAUUUUCCAGGAGAUUCCUCAAAAUAACAGGCGGAACAAAGGUAUUAUAGUAUCCCAUUCCAAUAUAUGACUUAAAAACUUUGUUCUUAGAUGCUAACUUUUGCAUGUGAUCAAUCAUUUGAGCCUCAGUUAAUCCCUCAUCAAACUUACUAAACGUCAUACCAUCAAGCCUGAUAGAUUUAGGCACAGUGGCGUCAAUAAGCGAAUCAAGACUGGGGAAUCCACAAUUCUCAACCAUUUUGAUUUGUUCUUCAGGGGUUGCAGAGUUAUGGCGGCGUGGAAAUGUAUCACUUGGUUUCAGUGCCUCAACAGAAACAAAUCGAACUUGGCCAAUCCCAGAAUGCAAAAAUGCAUUUUUUUUCGGAUUGACAUAAGUCCUUUGAUAUUGACCUUGGAACGAACAAGGAGACAGCGAGGAAACAUACCUUGAAGGCCUAUAAAAUGGUGAAGGAGCUGACAACAAUUCAUUGGC